CAGAAAGUAGUUUAAUAAAAACUUAAGUUUUGGAGACUUAUAACGAAGACCUCUUCCUUUCUGA
rnacentral:tRNA from 1 species